rnacentral:lncRNA from 1 species
AGCAUCAUAGGAGCACAUGGGCACUGAGCUAAGGACACCUGCUGAUACAGCUGAUGCUCAUAGGUCAGAGUUGGUAUUGUUUGUCAUUGGACUGGCAAUGAAGACAGAAGCAGAGGGUAACAAACAACCAGGCUACUAUUUCACCAGUAGGCACACCUUGCUUGGCAGGUUGGUAUUCCAGCAUGUCGGGCUUGCCAAGGAAUAAGGACAUUGAUGGCGUUUUCUCUUCUAGAGGACUACAAAGCCCCUUCCAGCAUGAUGAAAGCUUCUUGUAUCAGGUAUAUGUGUGCCUGGUGCCUACAGAGUCCAGAAGAGGACUGGAAUUGGAGUUGAAAAUGGUAUGAGUCUCCAUAUGAGUGCUAGGACCUGAACCUGCAUCCUCAGCAAGAACAAGUGCUCUCGACUGCUGAGCCAUCUAUAGCUCCUCUUGUAUCUUUUAGACUUAUUAAUGAAGGGAUGUUGAAGUUUAUCAAAUACCCUUUUCUGUAUCUUUCAAGAUGAUGAUGAUGAUAACAAGCAAAUAACCUAUGGAUAUACCUCAAGGCCUUGGAAAAACAAGAAAAAUCCAAACCCCAAAACAAUAGGCAUCAGGAAGCAGCAAUGAUCAGGGUAAGAUGACUGAAAUGGAGACAGUGCAAAGACAAUGCAGAAAGGUUUUUUGGUUUUGUCUUUUUGCUUUUUGUUUGUUUAGUUUUUUUAAAAGAAAAAUCAAAUAAGAUUGACAAACACAUGGCUAAACUAAUAAAAAGACCCAAAUUAAUACAAUUAGAGGUGAAGGGGGCCAGUCUAUUGAUUCUAAUACAAUAUGGAGAAUCAUGAGGAUAUAUCCCAAAGCUUAUAUUCCCAGACACUGUACAGUAUAAAAGAAAUAGACUGAUUAAUUCCUAGACACAUAUGAUCUAUAACAAUUACAUUAAAAAGAUAAAACCAGACAAACAGAUCCUUAAUGAUCAAUGAGAUUGAACAGUCAUGGGAAGUCUUCCAACAGCGACUGUGCAAUUCUACCAAACCUUUCUCUUCCCCGAAGAGAGUAGCAAUGAAAAACAUAACAUAAUAAGGGAUGUGCAGAACAAGCUCAUGGCUGCUAGACUAAAUGAGGAGACUACUCCUUGAAAACCUGGAAGAAAGGCUGCCCCCACUUCACUCUUGUACAAUUUAGUACUUGAAGUCUUAGCUAGGACAGUGUGUGUGUGUGUGUGUGUGUGUGAGAGAGAGAGAGAGAGAGAGAGAAAUCAAACUCAUGUUUUGAGGCUUGCAACCUUAACUGUUUCUUUUGAAAUCAACUAAUAAAGAAAGGAUUAAAUAAAUCACCAAGCAUCCAUGCCAUGAAAAACUGGAUUUUUGAAAGAAUGAAGCAACUCCAUGUGUGCUGACUUGGAAUGUCCACUAACCUGCAGCUGGAAACAGCAGCAGUCAUCCAGACUGUGAAGCACGGGGUAGUACCAUCGUCUACAGAAGGUUGCUUUUGAUGGAGAUGCUUUGGCGCAGCAGUAGAAACCCCAACUAAGAUCGUGCUUAUGUCAGAUUGGUUUCGUGAUAGAAUCGGAUCUGGACAGCAGUUUCCUUCAAUAAACGUCAGUGGAGCACCUUCUGGGUCCCUGGCAUGGAUGGACAGCAUCCCAAGAGGACUUUAGGUUGCCAUAUGAUUUGUUUCUCAACCAGCAUAUGAACUUUCCCAAGAUGAGGCAGGCCUUUUCAGUGUUACGCCCAAAUCCCAAAUCUAGGUGCAGAGUGCACAGCCAAAUCUCACCAAGCCUUCGUCUUCCUGAUAGAACAUGCUCGAUUUUAGCUGACUUCAUUCAGAAGUAGGAAUCAGAUACUAGUUGGCACAGCAGAAAAAAAAAAAAAAAAAAAAAAACCCAAAUCACCCUCUGGCAAGGAAGGCGUUAUGCAACUGCCUUAGAAGUAAAUUUACCUUCUUAAUUAUGGAUGCCUGUGGCUAUAAUUACAGAUAAGUAGCAUUUCCCACGUCUAAUCUUCUUCCUGCUUCCUUCUCUGAGCCCAUCGGGGUAACUCUCCUGGGCCUUCUAUUUAAUUCUCAGAGGUAGUGAGACAGAUUGAACGAACUUGCCUGACCGGAAGCUCAAAGGCAUCAGAGGUGGGGAGGGACAACACCGCUGAAGAAUCACCAUGUGGAACAGGGAAGCUUUGCUGACCUGCAGCGUCAGACUUCCAGACUGUCUCAACGUAGAGUGGCUUCCUGAGUCCUCCCGCCCUUCCUGGGGUUGUUCUGCAUUCAAUGGGUCAUGAGGCAGGCAUGCAAAACUUAUAUGAGCCGUGCCAGGCAGGUAUCACCCUGGAGUUCCAGAACAGGUGAAUAAACUUUCUCAGGCCUAAAUUAUAAACCAUUGUGUCCGGGGGCCGGAUUCCUGCAAAUACCCUAUUGGCUUCAGAAGUGUUGGUUCCUAUUAGACACAGAACAUUCUUGUCUUCUAAAAACAAACAAACAAACAAACAAACAAACCCCAAGCCUGUGGACAGAGGUUGGGAAGGUGAAGAGUAGGCCCUCUGUAGAUCCUGACAGCUUGGAAACUGAUCAUUUUCCAUGCCACGACUCUGAGCCCUUGUUCCAGUGGUUGACUAAGCAUGGCAGCGGUACACAGAGGUGCCGGCUCCAACCUCCAAAAGGCCUGACAGAAGCAACCCCACAUCUUUGUUCAGGGAAAAGACUUUACUUUCUAUCACACCCGACAGAGGAUCUUACUGUUUCUCUCCUCAGGCAUUUUCUGUUCUUUUGAUACCUUUUGCCUCCUGCCUGAACCCUGGAUGUAAUUCCCUUGCACAAAGCCCUCUGAAGAUGCUUAUAAAACUUGGAGCCAAGUCAAUCUACUUAAGCUCUACCUUUGCUUGGUCUCUUUAAGUUUAUCUCUCACAGCCCAGGUAGCUCAGCACUUCUCCUGCUCCUCACUUCGGCUCCUAAGAGGCCGAGAGGGCUUUCCCUGUUGCCUUGGCCCUCAGGGUUGGCAAAUGAAACAGUACCUACCAGCUCUGCGCUUUCUAAAGAGAGCCACCAGCUUUCUGGGGCCAAUUGAGAUGUGGCUAAGCAUACUCUGCUGUUUCCAGCAACCACCUCACCCUGCUCUCCCUGCUCCAGCCCACCCAGUCUCAGGAGAAGCAAGAAGAGAAGCAAAGAGAUGCUGAGGGAUUGUGAGGGCCAGCAGUAGGGUGUUCUGUCUUUGAGGGGGCAGUGAUACUUGCUUCACCGCACACUGCUGUGCUCUGAGAACCACAUCUCACCAUUCUAAAAAGAGAGGAUUUUGUGUGUGUGUGUGUGUGUGUGAACAUGGCUAUAGGUGUUUUAAAAUGAAUUUGCAUGUUAGAACAAUAUAUUGAUAAAAACAGAUUUAAAUUAAAUUUUAGAACUUAAGCUGGGUGGUGCUGGUGGCAGCCUUUAAUCUCAGCCCCUAGGAGACAGAGACGGAUGGAUCUCUUCAAGUUCAAGGGCAGCCUGGUGUACAAAGUGAGUUCUAGGACAAUGAGGUGCUAUAUAGAAAAACCAUGCCUAGAAACAAACAAACAAACAAACAAACAAAAUUUAAAACUUAAAAUGGUUCUUGGAUUCUGUUGUCUAAACGUAAAUGAUAACCAAAAACUUGAAAUUCAAGGGAUUGCUGAACUUAAAAAUGAGUAUUUCCUCACCCUGGGAGGGGAGGGGCAUGGGACACAGACUUUAACUCUUUUAUGGCCUGGGCCAAGUUGGAAUGUUGACACUUGGUUUGGCUGCACACAGUUUAUUGGAAGAAAUAGUAAGCCAAGUGCCUUGGAAAUGAUCAAGGGCAUACAUCCACCCAUCAUAUGCGUCAUAUCACCCUGGUUCCUUCACAUGCUCAAUGAAGAUAGGGAAGAUGGGAAGAAGGUCAUGGGGAUGUGGAUAUACGCUGUCUGGGUUUGAGGUCAGAUCCAUAGCAUGCUAGAUUAGGGACUUUGGGUGAGUCACUUAAUGGUUUUACAAUUCAUGUCCCUUAUUGUAAGAUGAGCCUAGUAACACACCGCUUUUGGUGUAACUGACGGGACUGGAUAAGUUAACACGUGUAAGAUACUUGGAAUGGUAGUGCAUGGUGCCAUGCCUCUGAUUAUUGCUUGCUGUCUGUGCUAAAGUUAAUGGAAGAAAAAGAUAUAUUCAUAAAGCCUUAGUACUGGGACUGGAGAGAUGGAUCAGUGGCUAAGAUUACUUCAUCCUCUUGCAGAGGACAGUGUGGUGCCCGGGACUCACAUUGCACUGUUCAUACUUGCCUGAAAUUCCAGUUUUCAAUUCCUCUUUCUGAAUCCACACACUUAUGAUACACAUACAAUUAAGCAGGCACACAUAAAUAAAUGAAAUUAUUUAUUUUUAUAAAACACAUUUAUUUAUAUAACACAUAAAUAAAAUAAAGGUUUUUUUUUUUAAACCAUUAAGGUUGGUGGACAUGGUGGCGCACACUUGUAAUCCUAGCAAUUGGAGUUGCUGAAAUAGGGAAAGUGUAGACAAAGUUCGAGGCCAGCAUGGGCUACAAAGUGAGAGUCUGUCUCAAAACAAAUCAACUCUUUGACUUCAAAUAAAGCAUACAUCUCAAUACCCUUUUCCUACCUAUAGUCUUGUUUCCUACACGGCAUGUUGCUUCAGUGAUCAAGUUCUUUGGAGAAAUGUCCAGUGUUACAUUUUGUGGUGCUUUGAAUAGGUAUGGCUCCCACAGACUCAUGUAUUUGAAUGCAUGGCCCAUAGUGGGUGGCACUGUUAGGAGGUGUAGCCUUGCUGGAGUAGGUGUGGCUUUCUUGGAGGAGGUGUGUCAUUGUGGAGAUGGGCUUUGAGGUCUCCUAUGCUCAAGCUAUACUCAAGCUAUAAAAGUAGCAACUCAGGCUCCUUUUGCUGCCUGUAGAUCAAGAUGUAGAACUCUUUGAUCCUCCAACACUGUGUCUGCCUGCCUGUUGCCGUGCUUCCUGCCAUGAUAAUGGACAGAAUUUCUGAAACUAUUAGUCAUCCCUAAUUAAAUAGUUUUCUUAUCAGUGAGUACAUAUUGUGUGAGUUCCUUUGUGAUUGGGUUACCUCACUCAGGAUGAUGCCCUCCAAGUCCAUCCAUUUGCCUAGGAAUUUCAUUCAUUCUUUUUAAUAGCUGAGUAGUACUCCAUUGUGUAAAUGUACCACAUUUUCUGUAUCCAUUCCUCUGAAAUGUUGCUGGAGAAAUCAGAAACCAAGAAGAAAAAAAAAGAAGGAGAAAAAGUUACUUCAAAGUUGACUUUUGUGUGCAUGAAUGGCUGUGUACCUUGUGCAUGCAGUGCCCUGGAGGCCAGAAGACAUUGGAGUCCCCUGGAACUGAAGUUGGAGGUGCUUGUGAGCCAUCAGAAGAACCCAUGUCUUCUGCAUAAAGGACAACACUUUUAAGCAUUGCACCAUCUCUCCAGCCCACUCAAAGUUGACUUUUAAAAUAAACUUUAUUAUUAUAUUAAUAAAAAAUCAUGUACUGAAGUUAACUAGACCCAAAGUCUACACAUCACAAUGAACAAGAGGUUUAAGUGGAACAUAAAAAUGAAUGACUAAAAAUCCAUAAUACCAUGAGGCCUUAGGGAAUGGAAGGAAGCAAGUUUGAAAUAAAUUACUAGCAGGCACAAACCAUCGCUCUUCCUCUCCCCUGAAAACAUUAAUGAAUUUCAAAGACGUUUCUAGAACCCACAUAUUCUCUUACACAAAGCCUUAACCACCAAUGUGGGUUUUAUUCUGACAGCGGUUCUCAGGGCAGUAAGUAGACAGCAGAUUGCUUCCACUGUAGAAGUCCCUCCAAGGAGAGCAGAUCUCCAACUCUUUUAAAGAGAAUUUACUACAAGCAUCUUAGAGUCCUCGAAAGUCCAGAGGGCCUGUGUUUUCUGCCAUUGCUGGUCAGAAGGCCUUACUGAUGAAAGAGCCACUUUGGAAAGCUACCAGAUGGUGAUGCCCCUGCAGUUUUUCUGGGAAUAUCCCUACAUGUCUAUUUAUCUGUUCUAGACCCCCCCCCCCCCCAGGGCUUCUUUUUAGGUUUGCCACAGUGUGUGGGUAUUAUCAAUGUGGCAAGUUCAAAACCCAGAGUGAACCCCUUCCCUUUCCCCCCCAUUGACUGGUUAGAGUUCUAGAAAAUAGAACUUAAGAGUAGAUGCUGUAUCCCAUUUUAAAAGAGUCUCUUUCCUAUUGUAUGGUUCUUAGUUCUUAAAUUGAGUGGAAACAAGAGGGAGGUUGAAAGAAAGGAUUGAGGCUUUCAAUGAACGUGAGGGAUACUGAGAUUUCUCAAGGGCCUGGGUGACUUAAUUUCCUCAUCCACAAGUGGGUUUAACACCUUACUGUGUAUAACACUGAAACCAGCACUGUGUCUUUGGUGAUUCUUGUCUAGAUGCCUUUUCUUCAUUUCCUGUGUCAGCGUCACAGUUCAGGUGCUUAAGCGAUCUCCACUGUCUGUCAGCUCCCAAGUCAGUCUGAGAUUCUCACUUAAAGUCCUCGCUCCUGUUUCCAUCUUCAAGAACCGCGACCGAAGAAUCUACCUAAAGCACAAGGAUGCACUGUGAGCCAUGCAUUAAAAUCGUUUAAUGGCCUCUUAAUGUAGAACAAAAUCUUCGACUUUCAGUUAGCACCCUUUCAGAAACAGUCACCCGGGGUCUGCUUUCAUUGGCUCACAGCAGAGUGCACUAUUAUGAGCAUGCUCAGUAGGCUAGACUCUACGUUACUUGCUCCACAUAAAUCAUUUCGUGUAAACAUGAUCCUUAGUGCUGUCUUCUAGCUCUCCAUGUUGCAGAAGAGGAAAGAAUGGCCCAGAAAGACUGUGGAACUCACCCAAGAACAAAUAGCUUCUUGGCCACAGAACUGAAUUCACUGUCUGGCACUUUCUGAUUUGGGUCUCUGGCUCCAGAGCAGCUGGGGGAGGGUGAGCAGCUAGGGGCUCAGAAUCAAAGGAUGGAGGAAGACAAUCUGAAAGACAGGUGCUGGGGAGGAGGCGGCAAUCUUUUCUUUCCCAGGUUGGUGGUGGGAAGCGGCUAUCUGGACUUGAAGAGAACGCUCUGGUCCUGGCUCCAGCAAUCUUACUGUAGAGGCUAUUUUGCUACACAGAAAACCCAGACCAGCAAUUUUCUGCGUUCUUGGAGCUCUAUUUGAUUCCUCUCCCAGCUCAGAGGUGGAUAUUUGGGAUGUGAUUACUGCCUCAGAGUAGUCAAAUCUCUUCUCUAGGAUAGAAAGGACCGAAGGAGCGGCCAGAUGGUGGCUUCCAGUUCUCUUACAGAGGAAAGUUUUCAGUCUUUCGGAAGUGGUCUGUGGGUAAUCAGAGAUGGUCAGACUGCCAGACUGCUUCUUCAACAAGAUGUUUCCUCCUGACUUCUCCAGCAGCCGUAUCCUAAGCCCAGUGGAAGGAAGGUGCCCGGCUGUCUUUACCUUUGUAACCGGGUCCUGCCUGCCUGCGUACCUACUGUGAGAGUUCCAGGUCGCAGGACUCCAGAACAUCUA